AGUGAACGCUGGCGGUAGGCCUAACACAUGCAAGUCGAACGGCAGCACAGUAAGAGCUUGCUCUUACGGGUGGCGAGUGGCGGACGGGUGCGGAAUACAUCGGAAUCUACUUUUUCGUGGGGGAUAACGUAGGGAAACUUACGCUAAUACCGCAUACGACCUACGGGUGAACGCAGGGGAUCUUCGGACCUUGCGCGAUUGAAUGAGCCGAUGUCGGAUUAGCUAGUUGGCGGGGUAAAGGCCCACCAAGGCGACGAUCCGUAGCUGGUCUGAGAGGAUGAUCAGCCACACUGGAACUGAGACACGGUCCAGACUCCUACGGGAGGCAGCAGUGGGGAAUAUUGGACAAUGGGCGCAAGCCUGAUCCAGCCAUACCGCGUGGGUGAAGAAGGCCUUCGGGUUGUAAAGCCCUUUUGUUGGGAAAGAAAAGCAGCAGGUUAAUACCCCGCUGUUCUGACGGUACCCAAAGAAUAAGCACCGGCUAACUUCGUG
rnacentral:rRNA from 1 species